AUUGCUCAUGAUGAAAUACUACCGCCCCAGUCUGAUAUUUAUGACUGAUAGGUUUUUCUGAAAUUUU